AGUGAACGCUGGCGGCAGGCCUAACACAUGCAAGUCGAGCGGCAGCGGGUCCUUCGGGAUGCCGGCGAGCGGCGGACGGGUGAGGAAUACAUCGGAAUCUGCCCUGUCGUGGGGGAUAACCUAGGGAAACUUAGGCUAAUACCGCAUACGACCUACGGGUGAAAGCGGGGGAUCGCAAGACCUCGCGCGACAGGAUGAGCCGAUGUCCGAUUAGCUAGUUGGCGGGGUAAAGGCCCACCAAGGCGACGAUCGGUAGCUGGUCUGAGAGGAUGAUCAGCCACACUGGGACUGAGACACGGCCCAGACUCCUACGGGAGGCAGCAGUGGGGAAUAGUGGACAAUGGGCGCAAGCCUGAUCCAGCCAUGCCGCGUGGGUGAAGAAGGCCUUCGGGUUGUAAAGCCCUUUUGUCCGGGAAGAAAUCGUCUGGGCUAAUACCCCGGGCGGAUGACGGUACCGGAAGAAUAAGCACCGGCUAACUUCGUG
rnacentral:rRNA from 1 species